UAAUCUGUAUGGAAAAUGCUUGCUGUC
rnacentral:piRNA from 1 species